rnacentral:rRNA from 1 species
GACGAACGCUGGCGGCGUGCUUAACACAUGCAAGUCGAGCGGAAAGGCCCUUCGGGGUACUCGAGCGGCGAACGGGUGAGUAACACGUGAGCAACCUGCCCUUGGCUUUGGGAUAACCCUCGGAAACGGGGGCUAAUACCGGAUAUGACAUCUGAUCGCAUGGUUGGGUGUGGAAAGUUUUUCGGCCAGGGAUGGGCUCGCGGCCUAUCAGCUUGUUGGUGGGGUAAUGGCCUACCAAGGCGACGACGGGUAGCCGGCCUGAGAGGGCGACCGGCCACACUGGGACUGAGACACGGCCCAGACUCCUACGGGAGGCAGCAGUGGGGAAUAUUGCACAAUGGGCGAAAGCCUGAUGCAGCGACGCCGCGUGAGGGAAGACGGCCUUCGGGUUGUAAACCUCUUUCAGCAGGGACGAAUCUGACGGUACCUGCAGAAGAAGCGCCGGCCAACUACGUGCCAGCCGCCGCCGUAAGAC